rnacentral:rRNA from 1 species
CCUACGGGAGGCAGCAGUGGGGGAUAUUGGACAAUGGGGGGAACCCUGAUCCAGCGACGCCGCGUGAGUGAAGAAGUAUUUCGGUAUGUAAAGCUCUGUCAGCAGGGAAGAAAGAAAUGACGGUACCUGUACAAGAAGCCUCGGCUAACUACGUGCCAGCAGCCGAGGUAAUACGUAGGGGGAAAUGGUUAUCCGGAAUUACUGGGUGUAAAGGGAGCGUACAAGGUUAAGGAAGGCUGGAGUGAACGGCCGGGGCAGAACCCCGGGACUGCUCUGGAAACUAUUGAACUUGAGUGCAGGAGAGGUAAGCGGAAUUCCUAGUGUAGCGGUGAAAUGCGUAGAUAUUAGGAGGAACCCCAGUGGCGAAGGCGGCUUACUGGACUGUAACUGACGUUGAGGCUCGAAAGCGUGGGGAGCAAACAGGAUUAGAUACCCUAGUAGUC